rnacentral:rRNA from 1 species
GACGAACGCUGGCGGCGUGCUUAACACAUGCAAGUCGAGCGAUGAAGUUUUUUCGGAAAUGGAUUAGCGGCGAACGGGUGAGGAACACGUGAAGAAUCUGCCCUCCACUUUGGGAUAACACAGGGAAACCUGUGCUAAUACAGAAUAUUGAAACAUAAGUGGCAUCACUGAGUUUUGAAAGAAUUUCGGUGGAGGAUGACGUCGCGGCCUAUCAGCUAGUUGGUGAGGUAAUGGCUCACCAAGGCAACGACGGGUAGCCGGCCUGAGAGGGCGACCGGCCACACUGGGACUGAGACACGGCCCAGACUCCUACGGGAGGCAGCAGUGGGGAAUAUUGGGCAAUGGAGGAAACUCUGACCCAGCGACGCCGCGCGCGGGAUGAAGGCCUUCGGGUUGUAAACCGCUUUCAGUAGGGAAGAAGCGAAAGUGACGGUACCUACAAAAGAAGCACCGGCUAACUAUGUGCCAGCAGCCGCCGUAA